GCCUAGGUAGCUCAGUUGGUAGAGCAGUGGACUGAAAAUCCUCGUGUCGGUGGUUCAAUUCCGCCCCUGGGCACCA
rnacentral:tRNA from 1 species